GAUGAACGCUGGCGGCGUGCCUAAUACAUGCAAGUCGAGCGAACGGACGAGAAGCUUUCUUCUCUGAUGUUAGCGGCGGACGGGUUAGUAACACGUGGAUAACCUACCUAUAAGACUUGUAUAACUUCGUGAAACCGGAGCUACUACCGUAUGAUAUUUUGAACCGCUUGGUUCAAUAGUGAAUGACGGUCUUGCUGUCACUUAUAGAUGGUUCCGCGCUGCAUUAUCUAGUUGGUAAGGUAACGGCUUACCAAGGCAACGAUGCAUAUCCGACGUGAGAGGGUGAUCGGCCACACUGGAACUGAGACACGGUCCAGACUCCUACGGGAGGCAGCAGUAGGGAAUCUUCCGCAAUGGGCGAAAGCAUGACGGAGCAACGCCGCGUGAGUGAUGAAGGUCUUCGGAUCGUAAAACUCUGUUAUUAGGGAAGAACAUAUGUGUAAGUAACUGUGCACAUCUUGACGGUACCUAAUCAGAAAGCCACGGCUAACUACGUG
rnacentral:rRNA from 1 species